AAACAAAUGGCUUGGUGGAGCGGAUGAACGGCACAAUUCAGAGAUGUACUUGAGGCAUGGGGUGGAAAAACAUGCAACGUGUUACUCUCAAAGAUCAGUGCCUAUAAGCUCUUUUACUGGGACAUAAAGCAACUUGGUCCAGACAUGGAGUUGGAAAGCGAGUCAAUCAACGCUUAUCUUCACCUCCUUAUAAAUGACUACAAUUGUGCAGAAACUACAAAAUCAACUUUCAUUGACACGUUUGCAAUGACAUCCAUAUGGAAUGGGAAGAUUCCGCGACUCAAG